rnacentral:rRNA from 1 species
ACGGGGACCCGCACAAGCGGUGGAUGAUGUGGAUUAAUUCGAUGCAACGCGAAGAACCUUACUACCCUUGACAUGUCCGGAACUUGCCAGAGAUGGCUUGGUGCCCGAAGGGAAUCGGAACACAGGUGCUGCAUGGCUGUCGUCAGCUCGUGUCGUGAGAUGUUGGGUUAAGUCCCGCAACGAGCGCAACCCUUAUCAUUAGUUGCUACGCAAGGGCACUCUAAUGAGACUGCCGGUGACAAACCGGAGGAAGGUGGGGAUGACGUCAAGUCCUCAUGGCCCUUAUGGGUAGGGCUUCACACGUCAUACAAUGGUCGGUACAGAGGGUUGCCAAGCCGCGAGGCGGAGCCAAUCCCACAAAGCCGAUCGUAGUCCGGAUUGUUCUCUGCAACUCGAGAGCAUGAAGUCGGAAUCGCUAGUAAUCGCAGGUCAGCAUACUGCGGUGAAUACGUUCCCGGGUCUU